GAUGAACGCUGGCGGCGUGCUUAACACAUGCAAGUCGAGCGAAGCGCUUAAGUUUGAUUCUUCGGAUGAAGACUUUUGUGACUGAGCGGCGACGGGUGAGUAACGCGUGGGUAACCUGCCUCAUACAGGGGGAUAACAGUUAGAAAUGACUGCUAAUACCGCAUAAGACCACAGGGUCGCAUGGCUCUGACUGCCAAAGAUUUAUCGCUCUGAGAUGGCCUCGCGUCUGAUUAGCUAGUUGGUGGGGUAACGGCCCACCAAGGCGACGAUCAGUAGCCGGACUGAGAGGUUGGCCGGCCACAUUGGGACUGAGACACGGACCAA
rnacentral:rRNA from 1 species